AACACUUGCACCUCCAGUAGCUGGUGAAAAUGAUUCAGGGUAAUGAAUCUUUUAAGCUUUACUGCCGAGCAUCAGCAUACCCAGCAGGAGCUGGGACCACUCAUCAUUUUCUUUAGAUUAGACACAGGUGGUGUCAGGUGCUCUUGUCAACCAAACCCAAUGAAAGUAAAUUGGUGAGAAACCAGUCUGUUUGGUGGAGAGAUGAGUGUGGAGUAAACCAGGGGUAGGUUUUGUUCAUGGGUGGAGCAGUUAGGCCAGGAGAAGGGCUGAGACCAGGAGAAGAGCUGGCACUUUCAUUGCAGGAGCUUUCUGCUGGUAUUUGCCUAAUUGGUUGGGUUUUUCCAUCUGAUUUUCAGAGUCGGAGAAAAAGAGAAAUAGAUGGCCUUUGUGUCUGUUCAUGAGUCACGAAAAUUAUGGGAAUGUUGAAAGACCACAGGAUUACAAAGUCUCGGGAGCUUCUGUCCUCCAGUUUCACCCACUUCAAGGAUACCAACAGAGGAGACGUCUUAGCUUCUAGCUAACUUGCAGAAGGGUGUGCAGCCAGACGAGGAAGAUCAUCAAAACACUGGGACUCACCAACGUACCUGGGCAGUGCAGGACACUGUUAACCUACCUGGGAGAAGGCACACUGCACUUCAGAGGUGUUGAGGUGCUACUGUAGAGGAGGUUUUGAGAAAACAGAUAAACAUGGGACGUGACUAUCAAUUCAGUCACCAGGUGAUGGGUAGGUGUUCAAGAGGGGAUGAUAUUCUAAGGAAUUAAGUUCUUGCUUAUAUAGAAACAUCUGCAGCUAGCCCUCACAGCAUUUAUUUGCAUUUUGUGAGAUGAUCAGGAUUUUGCCCACAUAUAUGACUAAAAAUUAAUAACUGUGUCAUUCUCUCGUAACAGCAAUACAAUCAAAAUCAGUUACGUUAUUAACCUCUGGAAAAGCAAUGUCCUUCCCUUCCCCACUACAUCCACUGCAAGAGUAUAGUGCCCCCCCUUUGGCAGUUGUAGAUAAGUAAUGCUGAAAAAGACCCUGAGAUGGACUGCAAGCACAAAGGACGGGUUUCUCUGUUUAGACAACGCUAUAAUGUCCAUUCAGCUCCCUCCAAAAUGCAAGAGAAGAUCAAUGCUGCCCUGUAAAAGACAGAGAGAGACCUUCC
rnacentral:lncRNA from 1 species